rnacentral:rRNA from 1 species
AGCGAACGCUGGCGGCAGGCCUAACACAUGCAAGUCGAACGAAGUCUUCGGACUUAGUGGCGGACGGGUGAGUAACACGUGGGAACGUGCCUUUAGGUUCGGAAUAAAUCAGGGAAACUUGUGCUAAUACCGUAUGUGCCCUUCGGGGGAAAGAUUUAUCGCCUUUAGAGCGGCCCGCGUCUGAUUAGCUAGUUGGUGAGGUAAAGGCUCACCAAGGGAACGAGCAUUAGCUGGUCUGAGAGGAUGAUCGGCCACAUUGGGGCUGGGACACGGCCCAAACUCCUACGGGAGGCAGCAGUGGGGAAUCUUGCGCAAUGGGCGAAAGCCUGACGCAGCCACGCCGCGUGAAUGAUGAAGGUCUUAGGAUUGUAAAAUUCUUUCACCGGGGACGAUAAUGACGGUACCCGGAGAAGAAGCCCCGGCUAACUUCGUGCCAGCCGCCGCCGUAAAAC